UACGGAGGGUGCAAGCGUUAUCCGGAUUCACUGGGUUUAAAGGGUGCGUAGGUGGAAUGGUAAGUCAGUGGUGAAAUCUCCAAGCUUAACUUGGAAACUGCCGUUGAUACUAUCAUUCUUGAAUAUCGUGGAGGUAAGCGGAAUAUGUCAUGUAGCGGUGAAAUGCUUAGAUAUGACAUAGAACACCGAUUGCGAAGGCAGCUUGCUACACGAUCAUUGACACUGAGGCACGAAGGCGUGGGGAUCAAACAGG
rnacentral:rRNA from 1 species